rnacentral:rRNA from 1 species
GAUGAACGCUAGCGGGAGGCCUAACACAUGCAAGCCGAGCGGUAGAGUUUCUUCGGAAACUUGAGAGCGGCGCACGGGUGCGUAACACGUGUGCAACCUACCUUUAUCUGGGGGAUAGCCUUUCGAAAGGAAGAUUAAUACCCCAUAAUAUAAUGAUUGGCAUCAAUUAUUAUUGAAAACUCCGGUGGAGAGAGAGGGGCACGCGCAAGAUUAGAUAGUUGGUGAGGUAACGGCUCACCAAGUCAAUGAUCUUUAGGGGUCCUGAGAGGGAGAUCCCCCACACUGGUACUGAGACACGGACCAGACUCCUACGGGAGGCAGCCGUGCGGCCUCUUGGCCCCUGGGUGCGCGCCUGCUCCCGCCAUCCCGCGUGCCGGAGGACGGUCCUAUGGAUUGUAAACUUCUUUUGUACCGGGAUCCCCCUCCCCUCGUGCGGGUAGCUGCCGGUCCUGUCCGCCUCCGCCCCGGCUCCCUCCGUG